UUCGGGAAGCGAGCGUACACAGGUGCUGCAUGGCUGUCGUCAGCUCGUGUCGUGAGAUGUUGGGUUAAGUCCCGCAACGAGCGCAACCCUUGCCUUUAGUUGCCAGCAGUUCGGCUGGGCACUCUAAAGGGACUGCCGGUGUUAAACCGGAGGAAGGUGGGGAUGACGUCAAGUCCUCAUGGCCUUUAUGACCAGGGCUACACACGUACUACAAUGGCCGAUACAAAGGGCAGCGACACUGCGAGGUGAAGCCAAUCCCGUAAAAUCGGUCUCAGUCCGGAUUGGAGUCUGCAACUCGACUCCAUGAAGUUGGAAUCGCUAGUAAUCGUGGACUUCACGCACUGCCACGGUAGAAUAACGUUCCCGGGUCCUU
rnacentral:rRNA from 1 species